GAUCCUGGCUCAGGAUGAACGCUAGCUACAGGCUUAACACAUGCAAGUCGAGGGGCAGCGGGAUUGAAGCUUGCUUCAAUUGCCGGCGACCGGCGCACGGGUGAGUAACGCGUAUCCAACCUUCCGCUUACUCGGGGAUAGCCUUUCGAAAGAAAGAUUAAAUACCCGAUGGUAUCUUAAGCACGCAUGAGAUUAAGAUUAAAGAUUUAUCGGUAAGCGAUGGGGAUGCGUUCCAUUAGGCAGG
rnacentral:rRNA from 1 species